GACGAACUGUCCUAACGUUGUUCGGAAUCACUGGGCUUAAAGGGCGCGUAGGCGGUCCGACAAGUCAGGGGUGAAAUCCUGCAGCUUAACUGCAGAAGUGCCUUUGAUACUGUCGGUCUGGAGGGAGAUAGGGGUGUGCGGAACUCACAGUGGAGCGGUGAAAUGCGUUGAUAUUGUGAGGAACGCCGGAGGCGAAAGCGGCGCACUGGAUCUCUUCUGACGCUGAGGCGCGAAAGCUAGGGGAGCAAACAGG
rnacentral:rRNA from 1 species